rnacentral:lncRNA from 1 species
AAGGUAUACUUUAAGAUAGCUUUUCACAGGUUAAAGACCCCAAAGGAGAGUUUCACAGGCUUCACGAGAAAGAGGCUCCACAACAAAGCAUUCACAUCAUCUUCAAAAGCCGGGGGCUAAAGAAGGCAGAGACCACAAAGCAAAAAAUCAAAAGUAAAACAGACAUAACAGAUGAGAUCUUUCAUAAUCAUAGCUACAGAAAUUAAGAAAACUCCCUAAACCACCCCCAUUUAUAUGUACACUCUGUCUGCAUCGAUCAAUAUUUAUCCCUAUAGCCCUCCAUUUUCAGAUAAAGUAUUUACAACUUAUUGAGUAACCUUCCCGUGGCAUAUAUGUCAUACAGGUAGAGCGUUAUCGGCAAUAUACACGCUAAUGUCAAAAGACAUGUACACAGCUUCACCUCACAAAGUUUCCUCGGGUUUCAGAAAGUUAUAGUAUUCGAGCUGAGUCAUCUCUCCACCAGUCAUUGGGUCAAAUUGGCGUCGAUAAAAGCUGCAUCAUUCAAUAAAAAGAAAAUUAAUUAGACUAUAAAGGCAUUCUAAUAAAGCAACAAGAUAUAUUAAGAGAUGGAAACUGGGAGACGUUCCAACUGCAAAAAAGGUCGGUCUAUGUGUCCAACAUGAUUCUCAAAACAGCAACCUCUUAAAUGAAAGCAGAUGACAGCAGCCUCAAGAGCCUCUCAUAGAGGAUCGAUGAGCUUUUGGCAAGGAAGAAUUUCUUCUCCCUUCUUUCCUUCAGGUGACAAAGGGUGGAAUUUGGGUUUUACAAUGCGAAAUAGGGUUAAGGGGUUGUUCAAUCUUUCACUAAUGAAUACAAAGAACUAAAGAUUAUUGAAGAGAACGCAGUGCAUCAAAUCUUUCUUUCUUCAUCGGUUAAAGGAAGGGAGGAACCAGAGGUAAAGGAUAACGUUCCCCUCCUUCUGUUUUAUUGAUCUAACUUAAAUGUGGAAAACUGGAGUACUAUUUGCUUGGUCUUGAGUAUGCCACACUAAAAAGCAUGUGGACAGCUAUAAAAAGAUAUGAAAAGCACUCAUUCUAUAGGAUUUCACGACCCCAACUUGACAUAAAUAAGGAAGACAGAGGAGUAGUAAGAUGAUAUUACCUCCCAUCCAUGCCAAGAAUUAAGACUGUGUUCUUCCGGUGUCCAAAAGCAACAACAUACUGUAAACCUUCAUGCAGUCGGAACUGAGCCACUGACCAUUCUGAGCUAAAGUACCUAGGCAGAAUACCUGCAAAGCAUGGAACAAAACUAGCCUGAGAGAAAGAUACAGUGACCAUGGUUUACCAUAAACACAUUCAGUCACCCAGCAUGAUAUACAAAUUAGCCACCGCAAUAACUCAUCCAAUCAUAUUUAGAUCUAGCAUGACAUGAACAAUUGAACUCUACUUCAAGAGCCAAUUACGUGACAGACAAAUAGCACGACUUCAAGAUACAGCAACUCCUGGCAUAUUACCUUUCAUGAAAGAAAGUGAUGAGAUCAUGGAGGAGGAAGACACGUGGCUUUCAGAUGUAUUGUGCAAUCUGUCAUUGUUCAGCGUGCCAAAAUCAGCCUUUAGACUGAAGACAUGGACAGUUCCUUUGUCACUUGAGACCGCCAGCCAUUGAGCAGUAGAAGAAAAGGCCAGGCUGUAUAUUUCUGCACGAUCUGCACCUCUUCUUACCUACAUGAAGAACUUUGAAUCUCAGUUAUACAAUGAAUAAAGCAGAAUAUUGCCCAAGAUUAUAUGAUAGUCAAAUUGUCCUCUUUCUACAAUCCUAAAGGCCUAUUGAAGCACAACGCAGUUUCAGCAGAGAACAAUAUCAGAUCACAGCAUCUAUUUAGCAUAAUAACCAUGCACUAAAAUCACUCUCAUGGUCUUUAGAAGCUAUGAACAGCAUAUGCCCUUACUGGCAAUUGAAUUCAUUAAAACUUUUGUCAGUUGGAUAUCAACACAUCACCAAGGCAGUUUAAAAUAUCUCCCUAUAGAAACCAACUUAUUUGUCUCAUCAUUUGAGCCUAUCAAGAAGCAAUAACAACUGCCAAAGGUUAAGUAAAUAGUAUAGAUAACAUAUUAGCAAUUACAACCUAUCCAUAAAAGACUUUAGAGGAUUUGUAUUAAAGACAGCACUGAUCCCAAAAGUAAGGUAUUCUUUUAUCGGUGGAAGUAAGAUGCAUAUACCGAUUUGGGAUAAAAAGUGAGAAAAGAAUGAGCACGAUUCGAAAGGUAUAAAAAUUUAGACAAUUCCAAACACUAGCGGUGAAUGACAUGAACUCAAGUGAUGUUGGAUUACAACAUACAAGUAAACAUCCUAACUUACUUCACAGAUACUGCCACUCAAUUAAAAAAAAAAAAAAAUUCUUCCCCCUUGGUGGUGACUCAGAAAAGGCAAGUCAUAGUUUAAUUCUGGACAAGCAAUAUCUUUUACCAGUUACUAUAUAUACAUGAAUUGAAAUCCAAAUUUGCAGGACAUUUCAUCCACUACUUGCAAGUAAUCUUGUGAAUAGCCAUGGCUGUUCAGCUAAAGAAAUAAAUAAUAUCUUUUAUCAUUCAGUUCAUGCUCAAUGGCGGGCUUGCUUAAAUAAGCUUUACUAAAACAUCAAGCACACCACAUUCUGCACUUUCAAAACACAAUCAGCAUAAGAUUCUGGACCAACCUCUUGGAGCAACGACCCAUCGAGAGUAUUAAACACCCUAACUAGGGUCCCCUUACUACUUGCAGUUGCUAAUAAUGUACCAUCCUGGGAGAGCGCAAAGGCCGCAAUCCUCGAAUCAUGCGCCAUUAUAAACCUAGUCCUCUUCGAAGCAUAGUGCUCGACCCUAACCUGAAAAAAGUACAUUAUGCACCAAUCAUCAGCACGUAGGUGAAUCAAUUAACCAAUUUGUUAUCGACUCGUGACAGUGCUAAUCGUCUCACCUGCCCGGAACCAUCUGCCCCGAACUCUGCAACACCACGCACAAACCCUUCGGAUUCGCGGUCGUCUCAAUCUGAUGCAGCAGCUUCAAGUCUGCAAAUUUGUAGACGUAUAUCUUCUGCAUAAGGAUCACCACGAUGUGGUGCCGCUGGAGCUCGACCGACUUCACCUCGGACCGCAACGAGAUCUCCCCGAUGCACUGCGACUGGUGGUCGUCCCAGAUCAUCACCUUGUUCACCGGGCAUAUCGCGUUCGACCUGCCCCCGACGAGGGCCAGUAUGUUGCACCGGAACAGCAUCUCCACGACGGCGAUCCCGCCUCCGGCGUCGAAGUGAUGUAUUGUCCACGUGUGCAUGGUCAAAUGUAAUAUUUAUUGGGAGCUCAAUUGAAAUGGUAGUGGAUGAAGAUUUAAGCAUUCCAUAAAUAAAGUUUGAAGUUUAUUGAACCAAAUUGUUGAGCCAAAGCACAAUACAAUCAUUGAAAUCCACCAUGAAUUUUAUCGUUGCCCCCUGUGGUAUCCAAUUUUUAUUCCCCUAUGUAGCAUUAAUUUGUCGUGAAAAGAUAUUCUUAUUCUAUGUACAAAUGAUUUUACGUGGGCUGCAUAUGAGAUAAAAUCUAUGAUAGUUUAGUGUACUUUUGGCAAUUGAUAUCAUGAGGCAUUGUGUUAGAGUGCAAGUAACUAUCGUGUAGCUAAGAUGCAUUUAUUUGCGAAAAAUUAGCAAAUUUCAAAGAUUUAAAGUUUUGAUUGUCGAUAAAAAAAUUUUAAGAAUAGAUUUCAUUUGUAAUAUCAAAUUUGAAAUUGAAAGCCCAAAAUUAUUAAUUUGAGAGAAGUGGCGUCCCAUAUUAGAAUGUCUCAUCUAAAUUUAGCAUUAUAGAGUCACACGUCAUCGUUUGAAAAAAAAGAUCCCAAUUGAUUUUGCCUAUUAACACUUAGAUGAGUUUUACCAAGCAAAUUAUUUGAGUUCUGCCAGUUACAAGUAAAUGAGUUUAUUGAACAAAAUUGUUACAUUUAAGGGUAUAGAAUAAAUAUUAAAAAAGCAAAAACAAAAAAGGAGAGAAAGAAGGUAAUUGCCUUUUUCCCCCACCUUAAUUUAUUCUAUAACAAAAACAAAAUAGUUAAACUGGAAUUUUUUUUUUAAAAAAAAAAAAGAGAAAAAGAAAAGGUGUCUAGACAGUUUAUGGUCAAUUUAUCUUCCUCCUUGUGCACGAGUCAACAUGCCCCUCCUCUCAAGGACCACAACCAGGUCAACAUCAUCAGGAAAAGAGCUGAUCAGCUUCAUCUGCAUCUUCCUCAGGCCACUGGCGAAGUCCAUGGCCUCGUCCAUGGCCCUCCAAGCGCCUCCUCCAGCUCCUCAUUAGCCAGGUAGAACGAGCACACCUGGCCAAGGAGCUGGUCGUGCCGCUCUUGGGACCUCGCCACCCUUUCCUCUGCGCGCUCAAGUGCCUCGGACACGACCCGCAGCUUCUCGACCGUGCGGCAUUGCUUCUGCCACCACUUGAUGCUGGGCACGCAGAGGAUGAACAACGCCGAGAAGCCGAUCAAGGCGCAGAUGGCACGGCCAUAGUCCAUUGAAAAUUGCUGGGGGGGGGGGGGUUUCUGUGGUCCAAGAUGAAGAGAAGAGGUUCAUAGACAGAGAAAGUUAAGACAAUGUCGGGUCUGAAUAAGAUUCUUUGCCUUUAGUGGGAGCAAUCACCUACUUGUAGGAAACUAACUCCUUUAGCUUCCUCUAUGGGAAAUUAUGUUGGUACAGGUUUUUUUUUCUCUCCUGAUGGAUAUUGCUGUAACAUCAUGAGUCUGAAACCAGUAUUGCUCUUUUUGCAAUUUCAGAUGCACAUUCAGAGAUUAUUUCCAGAUUUUCUUUUUGCCAGGAUCUGGAAAUUGGCAAUUUUGAGCACUUGGUUGAUGGCUGACCACUUGAAUCAUCUCUAUCCUUAAGUCCAGUAGCUCAACUAGGAUAGCUACUUACUGAUGGACAUAUGAAAAGGCAAUGCAUCUCAAAUGUUCCUAGACUAGCCUAGGACAAAGAAUGAUGAUCUCCUACUGUUUUCCAUACUGUCUACUGGAAAAGAAUCCUAACGAAACAAAGAACCUGGCGAGAUGAAACCAAAACAAAACGAGAGGAAACGACCAAAAGCUUGUAGAGAAUAAGAAUUCCAUGCCCAGCGUCCAACUCUUUUCGACAACUUGGUGUCGGAUGCUUUGUCCUCAGAGCAACGUGAGGUUAUCCUGCUCUUGUCGAGGGCUAUAAAUAUUUCGUGUUCCACUUGACAGAAUUAUAAUAUAUAGACUUCAAAUCAAAUUGAGAAUCAAGAAAUUAUGGAUGACCAUCGACUGUUCUCCCCAUUCCUUUCAGAAACUUGUGUUCCGUAGUAUUGUCACUCUUCCAAAUUUGGUUCAUUCGCAAGCCUAAAUUGGUACCGCAAUGUUUUCAUUUUUGGGUGUGCUAACAUUGAAUAUUAUUUAUCAUAAAAGGGUAUAAAAGGUUUGAAGUUAAUAAAUGUCAAUCUGAACGGUACAAAACUCUACACACACUGAGAAAAUUUGUGUUACAAUCCUAAUUCCUAGUGAAUGCACUUACAGAUCACACUAAAACCCAAUAUAAACAUGCUUAUUAUAAUUAUAAAAAUAAUACCUUGACGUUCCGUUAGCACCCGACGGCGGGUACGGCGCCACGUGGCGCUGCGGUCGGGUGGGGUCAGCAUCGACGUGCGUCAGCGUUUUUCGGAGAGGUUAUGCAAGCGCACCUGGACCUGCCAGCGGACACAAGCCUGAGCCGUUCAUAGCACCGAUGCCGUGAUACCUUUAAGUUGCUUAAUAUUUUCUCCACCGAUGCCGUGAUCCCUUUAGGUACCCUAUAUUUUCGCUAUAAAUAUGCUCCUGCGGACUCUACAACCGCAUCUGCAGCAGAGCGAGAGAGGCACCUCCUCGAAACGAAGAAGAAGAAGAAGAAGAAGAAGAAGAAGAAGAAGAAGGAAAUAAAUUGACUAUUAACAGCUUUUGCGCGUCCAUUGUCAUUUCGCGUGGUACGUGAUCUCUUCGCGUCCGGCUCCUUUCUUCUUCCUCGAUCUCUUCAGGGUCCGCCGGAGCUCUGUUCAUCGGCCGGCAGAGAGGUUAGCUUCCACUUGGGUCGUUGGUUCCGAAUCUUUAAUACCAUACAACACUUUAAUCCGGUGCAAACAUCGAGAUGGUGAGGUGAGGUCCAAGGGCCUCGUGGGGACGAAGGGAUGGCAAGUAACUAUCAGUCACGCGGACAUGGCCAGCAUCGGCGGACGCGGACCUCGACCAUGUCUUGCUUUGGUUUCUUGCCCAAGCCGACUAACGGUUCUUCUCCAUCUUCUUCGAGAAGGUUUUCGAGCGGCGGGCAUGGAGUGCAGGCGCCUGGAGGUGACGGUGAUGUCCGCUGAGGACCUCAAGGACGCCAACGUCUUCGGCAAGAUGGACCCCUACGUCGCCGUCUCCUUCUCCGGCGUCGCCAACAAGCGCCAGAAGAGCAAGCAGUGCACCCCCGUGCACAAGGACGGCGGCACCAGCCCCCGUUGGGGCCACUCGCUCUCCUUUACUGUCGAUGAGGCCGCCGCCCGCGCGGGCCGCCUGAAGCUCAAGUUCAAGGUCAAGGCGGAGAAGACCCUCGGCAGCAAUAAGAAGGUCGGCAGGGUUGAGGUGACGGUGAAGGAGCUCCUCGAGCAGGACGGGAAGCCCAAGGUCACGAGCUACAGCCUGAGGCUGCCGUCCGGGAAGACGAAGGGGGUCCUGGAGUUUGCCUACAAGUUUGGCGAGCGGUUCACCGUGGCGGCGCCGCCCCCGCCAGUCGUGGCUUAUCCGCCCACCUCGAGCUCGGCCGCAGGGUACCCGCCGCCGGCGGGGCCCUACCCUUCGCUGGCGGGAUAUGGAUAUCCACUGCAGGGGUAUCCGCCGAAUGCCGCGCCCGGGUACGGCUACCCGCCCCAGGGAUACGCGCCUCCGCCGCCGGGGUACGUGUAUCCCCCGGCGGUAUACGGGUACCCGCCGGCCGCGUACCGGCAGAAGCCUCCCAAGAAGAGCGAGGGGAACUCCUGGCUGGGGCUGGGGUGCGGGCUGCUUCCCCGGCUUGUGAUCGGAGACAUAAUAUCGGACGCGUCGGAGGCCGCCACGUACGACGCUGGGCUCGAUGAUGCUCUCGUGUGAAAUUGUUUCUUUGCUUCCUCGGUCAAUGUUUGAUCAGCUUUCGAAAUAAAGAGGAUGUGCCCUAGAUGAAAAAUGGAGGAUACGUUUUAUCCCAUCUUAUGUUCCGUAACUGUGUAGGACGAGAUAAAGCGGAUGUAGCUCGGAUGAAAUUGAAUGGCAAAGUUGAAAUGUUUAUAAUUGAAUCAGUAAAAUAAUAAUUAAAUGUGGACAAUUUUCCGCCUUAGCUAACAUUAAGCAUCCAUCAACAAUCAACUGACAAAAGUAUUAUUUCCUCUUAGAAAUACCACUUAUGCUUGGCUAAAGAAAGAAAAAUGACCCUCCUCAAAGCUAGCAUUGGAAAAAACAAAUAAAACCCUAACCGAUAAAAAUAUACAUUAAUAGAGAGACAUAAAAUGGAGUUUCUUGAUCCCAUAAAUUUUUUUUAAGGUGAUAUUUUAGAAAUUUGCGUCAUGCUAUGUGAUUUUUUUUCCUAAUAUUUAUUUAAUUAGGUUUUUAGAUAACCAAUAUUAUCUCAUGAUUUAGUUAAUAAUCAGUCACUUUUUUUAUUGGUUAUCUACUCAACAAACAGCGGAUAGAUAACGUAUUUGAUUUUUGGGAUUUCAGUGCACUAGUUUAUCUCAAUUCAAUUCAAAGCGAUUUUAUUUUUUUCUAAACUAGAGUUGAAAUUCACAUGGGAUCAAGCAUAGAUAAUUAUGAAAAAGAAAAAGAGGCAUAAUUGACUUUUCUGGAAAUUUCCAAAAGCGUCGAAGUAAAAAGAGAGUGCCUUUAGGUCACGUCAUAUUUAUUCUUAAGAUUAAUAUUACGAAAAACCCAAAAUCAAUAUGCCAAUGACACAUUUAUUCAAAAUUAAUUUUUAAAUCACCAAAAACCUCAUAUUAAUAUACUUCGGAUUUAUCCUCCAUUAAUUUCUAUUAAAUUUUACAAUCGAAUUAGUGAGUUGGAUAAAACACAACAAUUGAUGGGUUUACCCAUUUGGAGAUUUACUGUCCAUUUGUUAGCAUGUACUAUUUUGGAAUUUUUUAUGGUAUUAAUUUAAUUAACGGAAACAAAUAGGGAGUAAAUUUAUCCUCAAUUGGAGCCAUGCCGUCGCCUUGGCUGUUGACAAGGCCACGGCCCAUGUCGGCGGCCUCGCCCUCAAGUUCAAGAUCAAGGCCCAAGCACACCCUCAGUGGCGACAAUGAAGUCAGCAGGGCCGAUAUGCCUAUCAGGGAGCUGCUGAAGCGUCGAAGCGGGGCUGGGCCGGCGACGGGAAGCCCAAGGCUUAAAAGUUCGGCAAGCGGCUCACCGAUCUUUACGACCCCGGCCUUUGUUCUUGUUAUAGAAGCAUUAAGAAGGCUUUCAUCCAAACCCCUGUACUAUACCCCCAAAAAGAAGGGCAGUGAGGUAGUGGAGCAAGCAUUGAGCCGUAGACUAGACACUACACAGCAUUAGUAUGAAAUGCUCCAGAUAAUCAUCUUAGAUGGAGCAUCACCGCAUCGGCGAACGUGUGGUGGUAGCAAGGAGUUGGCUCGGAGGGCCGCCCACGUGCCGCCGCCACCAGGGACAAGGGCUGCAGGCGAUUUGGUGUUUUCCAGCGAUGGAAUGGUGGGUAAAAUUACAGAAGUCGAGGGGGAGGGUCUUCGUGCAUUUCCGAUAACGAAAACCAUAAAGCAGGUUCUUUCUAAGAGCAUAAGAACCAGACCAAAUACGAUGCUAACUGAGAUAAGCAGAUUCCAACGACCAAAAGCCACACUCAGUUUGCAAUUUGCCGAUGAUUCCGAAGCAGAACAACGAUGAUCAAACCAUGAAUGCACCUUUGCUAUAUAUCUAAUUACAUUAGUUGAGCUUCUUCCCAACCCAUGCAAAAAGCCCCAACACGUUCCCAUUCUUAACAAGAGAAUUAGCAUAAAUUCUAAAUCCCGCUCCCUUGAUAUCUCACGUUGCAUCCAACGCAUGCUGUCUUCCGAGAGUUCAGUUCUUGAGCCCUGGCCGUUUUAAGUCCUUAGACCGUAGUUCGUGGGAAGUAGAUCCGCUUAUCGCCGGAAGGCGUGAUCCUUUGACCGAAUUUUCAAAUAUCCAGGAAGCCUGUCAUGGUAGAGAUGCGAAUAGAAUAGCGGACUCAAUUGCUAAAGCCCAAAGGAAUAAAGCCCUGCCUAAAACUUGGCUGAAUCAAAACCUCACAAGCACUAUGGGAUCAAAGGCUCGCUACCAUACUAUUUCGGUUCAUCACUCCAUUGAAAGAUAUAGAAUACUUUCAAAUGGGUAUACUUUUACGAUAGCUUUUCACAGGUUAAAGACCCGAAAGGAGUUUCACAGCAGGCUUCACGAGAAAGAGGAUCCAGAACAGAGCAUUCACAUCAUCUUCAAGAGCCGCCCGGGGCUCCCUCCAGAGGGGGGAGUGGUUGUAAAUAAGGCAGAGACCACAAAGCAAAAAAUCAAAAGUAAAACAGGCGUAAUGGAUGAGAUCUUUUAUUACCAUAGAUACAGAAAUUAAGAAAACUCCCUGAACCACCCCCAUUUAUAUAUACAGUCCGCCCGCAGCCAUCAAUAUUUAUCCCUAUAGCCCUCCAUUUUCAGAUCAAGUAUUUACAACUUACUGAGUAACCUUCCCGUGCCAUAUAUGUCAUAUAGGUAGAGCGUUUUCGACAAUAUACACGCUAAUGUCAAAAGAAAUGUACACAGCUUCACCUCACAAAGUUCCAUCGGGUUUCAGAAAGUUAUAGCAUUCGAGCUGAGUCAUCUCUCCACCAGUCAUCAGGUCAAAUUGGCAUCGAUAAAAGCU